ensembl:lncRNA HSDL2-AS1 HSDL2 antisense RNA 1
CUACGGCACGCACCGAGCUCGCAGUCGUUGCUGCCCCGAGGAGGUGUAGAUCGAGCCUCCUGCCGCACACACGUUCGCACGCGGCGGCCGGCGCGCUGGACCGAGAGGUUGGAGCAAUCCAUCCUCCGCGCGCACGAGCUCAGUCCCUACUGCCCCGACAGGUGUGGAACCCGCCGUCCCCGCUAUGGUCCGAGGAAGUGUACAGCACUGCUCCCUACUACACGUCCUGGGCCCGCGGUCCCCGAUGCCCCCCGGAGCUCUGUGCACCUCCACUGAAACGCAAGGAGCAGACAGAACCUACACCAUCCGUGAGGCAUCCAACCAUGAUGAGGUACCUUGUUGAACAAACUAACUCUGCCACUGAGAACGAUGAAAGCUGUUUAAAAAAAUAAAUAAGUCUGUUUAAAACAA